GCGUGAGUGGCGAAACUGGCAGACGCGCCAGAUUUAGGUUCUGGUGUCUUCGACGUGAGGGUUCGAGUCCCUCCUCGCGCA
rnacentral:tRNA from 1 species